rnacentral:piRNA from 6 species
GCUCAGUCGGUAGAGCAUCAGACUUUU